rnacentral:rRNA from 1 species
UACGUAGGGUGCGAGCGUUGUCCGGAAUUACUGGGCGUAAAGAGCUCGUAGGUGGUUUGUCGCGUUGUUCGUGAAAACCGGGGGCUUAACUCUCGGCGUGCGGGCGAUACGGGCAGACUGGAGUACUGCAGGGGAGACUGGAAUUCCUGGUGUAGCGGUGGAAUGCGCAGACAUCAGGAGGAACACCGGUGGCGAAGGCGGGUCUCUGGGCAGUAACUGACGCUGAGGAGCGAAAGCGUGGGGAGCGAACAGG